UACGUAGGGGGCGAGCGUUGUCCGGAAUCAUUGGGCGUAAAGAGCGUGUAGGCGGACUUAAAGGUCUGGUGUGAAAGCCCGGGGCUCAACCCCGGAGGGUCACUGGAAACCAUGAGUCUUGAAUCUGGAAGAGGAGAGUGGAAUUCCUGGUGUAGCGGUGGAAUGCGCAGAUAUCAGGAGGAACACCAAUGGCGAAGGCAGCUCUCUGGUACAUGAUUGACGCUGAGACGCGAAAGCGUGGGGAGCGAACAGG
rnacentral:rRNA from 1 species